rnacentral:misc_RNA from 1 species
AAGUCGUAACAAGGUUUCCGUAGGUGAACCUGCGGAAGGAUCAUUACCUAUUGCGAAAGAGAGAAGCAGCAUUGAGUUUCCAGCAUAGCUAUCAGCUAUGGCCCCUCUCACUUUUGGGGCCAAUGCAAUGCUGUAGUCGGUUGGAUGACUCUGCUGCUUUUCUUCCCAAUUGCAAUUUCUCUUCGGUGUUCACAUAUCCCAUGUUGCUUCCCGUCAGGUGUUUUACAUCCCGCGGGGAGGAGAUUUCAACUCUGGUAUUACUGUGAUUUGUCUGAGUGGUACACACGCUAAACAAGUUAAAACUUUCAACAACGGAUCUCUUGGUUCUC